CGCCUCUUGCAUUCUAUGUAUAAGAGGUCCCGCCUGCCCUGUGACUAUAUGUUCAACGGCCGCGGUAUUUUGACCGUGCAAAGGUAGCGCAAUCACUUGUCUUUUAAAUAAAGACCUGUAUGAAUGGCAUAACGAGGGCUUAACUGUCUCCUUUACCUAGUCAAUGAAAUUGAUCUCCCCGUGCAGAAGCGGGGAUAUUAAUAUAAGACGAGAAGACCCUGUGGAGCUUAAGACAAUAGACGGAUUUUAUGUAGUAAACCUAAAAAGGACAUAAACAAGUUUAUACUCCCUCCAAUGUCUUCGGUUGGGGCGACCGCGGAGUAAAAAACAACCUCCAUGAGGACUAGGAUAUAACCUUAAAUCCCAGAACGACAGUUCAAAGAAACAAAACUUUUGACCUAAGGAUCCGGCACAGCCGAUCAACGAACCAAGUUACCCCAGGGAUAACAGCGCAAUCCCCUUCAAGAGUCCCUAUCGACAAGGGGGUUUACGACCUCGAUGUUGGAUCAGGGUAUCCUAAUGGUGAAGCCGCUAUUAAGGGUUCGUUUGUUCAACGAUUAAAACCCU
rnacentral:rRNA from 1 species